AUACGGAGGAUGCAAGCGUUAUCCGGAUUUAUUGGGUUUAAAGGGUGCGUAGGCUGUUCGGAAAGUCAGGGGUGAAAGCCCGGCGCCUAACGCCGGAACUGCCUUUGAUACUUCCGAGCUGGAAUACGGAUGCCGUGGGAGGAAUGAGUAGUGUAGCGGUGAAAUGCAUAGAUAUUACUCAGAACACCGAUUGCGAAGGCAUCUCACGAAUCCGUCAGUGACGCUGAGGCACGAAAGCGUGGGGAUCAAACAGGAUUAGAUACCCUGGUAGUCCACGCAGUAAACGAUGAUGACUAACCGUCGGCGAUACACAGUCGGUGGCCAAGCGAAAGCGAUAAGUCAUCCACCUGGGGAGUACGUUCGCAAGAAUGAAACUCAAAGGAAUUGACGGGG
rnacentral:rRNA from 1 species